GACAGAGGGUGCAAACGUUGUUCGGAAUUACUGGGCGUAAAGCGCGUGUAGGCGGCCCUGCAAGUCGGGUGUGAAAUCCCACGGCCCAACCGUGGAAGUGCACUCGAAACUGCAGGGCUAGAGUCCUGGAGAGGAAGGUGGAAUGCUUGGUGUAGAGGUGAAAUUCGUAGAUAUCAAGCGGAACACCGGUGGCGAAGGCGGCCUUCUGGACAGUGACUGACGCUGAGACGCGAAAGCGUGGGGAGCAAACAGG
rnacentral:rRNA from 1 species